rnacentral:rRNA from 1 species
CUUUAUUCUUUAUUCUUUAUUCUUUAUUCUUUAUUCUUUAUUCUUUAUUCUUUAUUCUUUAUUCUUUAUUCUUUAUUCUUUAUUCUUUAUUCUUUAUUCUUUAUUCUUUAUUCUUUAUUCUUUAUUCUUUAUUCUUUAUUCUUUAUUCUUUAUUCUUUAUUCUUUAUUCUUUAUUCUUUAUUCUUUAUUCUUUAUUCUUAACCCUACAAGAUGAUUUUUAUUGAUUAAAAAUAACUAAGGGAAAGAUGAGUGAUUGUAAAAUGAAUAGGGUUAGUAGGGAAUUGUUUGAUAAUAUUAAGUCAUUUUUGCACUAUAAGCUUAAAAC